CACACAGUUUGCAAGGCAUUUGUAACUGCAGUUCAGUUUCUUUGGAACGGACAGUUGAGAAGCUCCAGUGACCUUGGCUCAAACCAUGACUGAGCCAGUGACUAGCCAACCGGCUGCCAUCUCCCCUGUGACCAUGUCUUCUGAAGGUAGCUGGAGCACAGGCAGAUACGACUGCUGUGCAGACUGCCCCAUGUGUUGUCUGGGGUUUUUGUGCCCACAAAUCCUAUCCUGUUAUGUGUCGCACAAAUAUGGAGAGAACUGUUGCCUCGGGAUGGUGCCUGGUGGACCGACAGCAUUACGGACUCACAUGCGGCUCUCUUAUGGCAUCCCGGGUACCGUUUGUCAGGAUGCACUGUCCAUGUUCUGUUGUGGCUGGUGUGAACUAUGCCGCAUGGCUCGUGAAGUCCAUACCCGCUCCAAGAAUUCCUGAAAGGAGACUAGCUGGAAACUGCACUGCACUGCCGCAAACAUCAAGAAGAGCAGCUUGGACUGGUUUUUUCUCUCUUAAAAAAAGUAAUAUUUUUGUUUUAAACUGUGUUAAUAGCUUGGGUACCAAUACUGGAAGAAAGGUGAGGUAUAAAUGCUCUAAAUAAAUAAACCAAAG